rnacentral:ncRNA from 2 species
AUUUAAAGGGGUGCUUUGAACGGCUGAGAGAGGUUUUCCUCAACCCUGUAACCUGAUCCGGAUAAUGCCGGCGUAGGGAACACGCUUU